CCAAGCGUAGUGUAGUGAGCUCGCGCUGUGUCCCUAUUCUUACCGCUCCUCUUGGGGAGGGGGGUGUGGGCGCGGAGUGCCGAGGUGAGAUCCCGUUGUUAGGCGCUCUUUCGCUGUUAUUGUGUGUGCUCCGACGAGGCCGGAGGGAAAAUUCGCGGGCCAUCAGAUGGUGGGGGCAUCGAUUAGGCUUUCGCUUCGGAACUGACGGUUGACUUCGAUUUGCACGUCAGAAUUACUACAGUCCUCGACCAGAGUUUCCGCUGGCUUCAACCUACUGUAGCGAACCGAAAGAUGUUUAACUAUGCAUGCUGAGUUCGCAGCCAGAGGCAACUCUGGGGGAGGACCGGAGCAAAUCUGAAGAGCAACUCGAUCGUCAAACGUGAGUAUAGAAGCCUUAGACUAAUCGAACCAUCUAGUAGCUGGUUCCCUCCGAAGUUUCCCCUCAGGAUAGCUGGCAUUCAUUGAGAUAAUCAGAAUUAUCCGGUAAAACCAAUGAUUAGAGGUGCUGGGUUCGAAACGAGCUCAAGCUACUCUCAAACUUUAAAUAGAAUGAGAGACUCAGACUCGCCCCUGAUAUUCACUACCCCGCGUGGUUCUCGGCAGGACACCUAUCGGUUGUUUGAAAAAAGAA
rnacentral:rRNA from 1 species